rnacentral:rRNA from 1 species
GAUGAACGCUGGCGGCGUGCCUAAUACAUGCAAGUCGAGCGAACAGACGAGGAGCUUGCUCCUCUGACGUUAGCGGCGGACGGGUGAGUAACACGUGGAUAACCUACCUAUAAGACUGGGAUAACUUCGGGAAACCGGAGCUAAUACCGGAUAAUAUAUUGAACCGCAUGGUUCAAUAGUGAAAGACGGUUUUGCUGUCACUUAUAGAUGGAUCCGCGCCGCAUUAGCUAGUUGGUAAGGUAACGGCUUACCAAGGCAACGAUGCGUAGCCGACCUGAGAGGGUGAUCGGCCACCCUGGAACUGAGCCACGGUCCAGACUCCUACGGGAGGCAGCAGUAGGGAAUCUUCCGCAAUGGGCGAAAGCCUGACGGAGCAACGCCGCGUGAGUGAUGAAGGUCUUCGGAUCGUAAAACUCUGUUAUUAGUGAAGAACAAAUGUGUAAGUAACUAUGCACGUCUUGACGGUACCUAAUCAGAAAGCCACGGCUAACUACGUG